UACGUAGGGGGCAAGCGUUGUCCGGAUUUAUUGGGCGUAAAGAGCGUGUAGGCGGCCAGACAGGUCAGCUGUGAAAACUCGAGGCUCAACCUCGAGACGUCGGUUGAAACCGUCUGGCUAGAGUCCGGAAGAGGAGAGUGGAAUUCCCGGUGUAGCGGUGAAAUGCGCAGAUAUCAGGAGGAACACCAACGGCGAAGGCAGCUCGCUGGGACGGUACUGACGCUGAGGCGCGAAAGCGUGGGGAGCGAACAGG
rnacentral:rRNA from 1 species